GCUAUUUUAGUGUGAAUACAAUCAAGAGAAUCAGAAAAUAAAAUAACCCAAAGACCACCUCCCUCCAAAGGACAUCAUCGUAACAUAAGCUGUUAUCUAGUCAGUUAUAAUAUUUGCCUCUCAGAAGACAUACCUAAUUAUCAAAACAUUACAUUCCACCAACAAAAUCGACAUCCUAUAAUAAAGAUUGAGUGGCACCUCCCUGCAUGCAGCUCUGUAAUCAGUUCACGAUCAUAGCUGAGUCAUUCUCAAUGUUUAGGUGGUCUACUCCCAAGAUCCAUCAGGCAUGCACAAUUUCUACCCAGGUUGUAGGAAGCUCCGCUUCAAAAUACUGUGGGCUCGAAUAGAUGGUUCCUCCCAGCUGCUAUCAGCUUAGAGUCAGGUCCAUGGAUCACAAGGCCUGUCUUAUCAUGUUUGUUUCUGAUGCUGCUAUCAAAGUUGACUUUAAGGUAUGCUGGAGGAGGAGGCUCUCAAGUAAUAAAUACCCAUCGGGUCGCUACACAAGCAUGGACACAUACUUUAGUGAAGCAAAGCAUUUAGCAGGUAACGAAGAUUAUAAGAAAUGGAGGCAAGUAACUCUCUAACUACAAUCAAAUAUCUCUCUUACGAGAUUCGGCAUAUCUAUCAUGAGGCAAAUAGUGUGGCAAACUAAGUGGCUCUGAGUGGCUUUGUUUGUUGCUCUGGUAGAGUUUGGAAUGAUAUCUCUUUAUUGUUGAUGUCUUUCUAAAAUAUAUAUAUAUAUUUUUAAUUUUUUGGAUUAUAUUUGUAUUAGGAUUAUAUGAAUCGACCAUCUUAGCAAAAUAUAUACGUACAUAUGUGUACGCGCGCGGGUAAAACACCCGUCUCCAGAUUUUAUUUGGCCAAUGCAAGAUGUGAAUAGCAUGGCUAAGAUAUAAAUCGCACGAAAGUACAUCCAAAGCCUUCAGUGUGACGCCACAGACUCCCUAGUAACGAUAUCACAUCCAUGGUCCUGACAAUUGGGAAUCGGAUUUUGGACCCAAGAACCCACAACAUGCUCGAAUGUGCUUCAAGCCAACAGAAAACAACAAUUAAACAUGCUGCGAAAUCAUAUUUACACAAACUAAAAAAGACAACAGAAAAAAAAAAAGAUGUCGGUUAUCUCAUUCAAAGUUUGCAGCACUGGAAUAAAGAAAGCAAAAAAAAAGGGGGGGCCGGGGGGGGAUGUGGUUGAAUUAGAGAACACAUGGAAAUCCCAGUGUUCACUACCUUCAAUAUCCUAACGGCCCUAAUCAAACAAACCAAGGACCAUGUCCUCAUCAG
rnacentral:lncRNA from 1 species